GUUUGGAUAGCUCAGCGGGCAGAGCGAAGCGCUGAAAAUGCUUAGGCCAGUGGUUCAAACCCACUUCCAAACA
rnacentral:tRNA from 1 species